rnacentral:tRNA from 122 species
GGGCCUGUAGCUCCAAUUGGUAGAGCAGCAUCCUUGCAAGAUGACGGCUGUCGGUUCGAAUCCGACCUGGUCCAC